GCCAGGCAUGGUGGCUCAUGCCUGUAAUCCUAGCACUUUGGGAGGCUGAGGCAGGAGGGUCACUUGAGCCCAGGAGUUCAAGACCAGCCUGGGUAAUAUAGUGAGACCUUGUCUCUU
rfam:Gorilla gorilla gorilla genomic chromosome, chr7, whole genome shotgun sequence